GGGCAGGGGCCCAGUUCCCUCUCCGGGGCCCAGAGACACGGUCGCUGCAGGAGGUAGGGCAGCAGUGGUUCCCCUCAGAUGCUGACAGACCUGCUGAGUUUCUCCUGUGUUUGCUUGACCUCUUCCCAUCAGGAUUCAGUUGAAAUUCUGGCUGCUGGCUAAGAAUCUCGCUAAUUGAAGAACAUUCCGAUUAAUAAUAUGGAAUUCGGGGGGAGAUGAAUGGAACAACAAAGAAUGAGUUCUUGAUGUGAGGUUCUGUAGUUAGAGAGAGCUGAGCUGUACUGCGGUGUCUGCAGAUGUGAAAAGAACAGAACUUGGCAUCUUGGAAAGAUGUGGGAACAGAAAAGGAGGAUUGGAAAUCCAAGGAAUCUCUAAAGUUCUCUUUCUAUUUCCUUUUCUUAUGAUUUUUUGUUCUCUGAAGGGAAUUAGAAUGAUUUUUAACAGCUUUAAACUGCCACUGCAGAAGGUGUCUCUUUUUGUGUCUGUGGUGUAGAGAUGUGAUACUUUCCCUUAUUUUUACAAUGUCCACUUUUACUUCCCUCGUUUUAUUUUUUAAUUUCACCUCCAAAGUGAAAGGGCAACAGUUCUGAAGCUGCCUGUGUAAUGAAAGGAGCGGCUCAGUCUGAGUGAAGGGAUUAGUUCGGAAUCGUAUUCCCUGAUCACUCUUGGGACCCCCCUGUUCAAUGCGAGGGAUUUAAAGUAUGAAUCGAGUCCAAACAGAUUAACAUCACAAUUUCCUUUUCGCUUCUCAAAUCGGUAAUACUGUUCCUCAUUUAAAUUUCUGUCAUUACCUAACCCCAAAUGCUUUGUUUUUUUACAGAUGUGAAAAGGCUGAUUGAAUAUUGAGUGGGAUUGUUCAUAAAACUCUUUCAUUUCCAGGCUUUUAGUUUGGAAGUCUGCGGUGGGGAUGCUUUCUCUCUCACUCUGCUGGCUGUGAAAGUACCAAUUAAAAUGAUUGGAGUAACAGAGCUUGUAGCCUUUUCAACUUGGAUCCCAUGAGCCAGUUCCCAGUGUUUACACUUUGAUCCCUGAAUCAAAGACAGAAAUA